rnacentral:rRNA from 1 species
GAUGAACGCUGGCGGCGUGCCUAAUACAUGCAAGUCGAGCGAACAGACGAGGAGCUUGCUCCUCUGACGUUAGCGGCGGACGGGUGAGUAACACGUGGAUAACCUACCUAUAAGACUGGGAUAACUUCGGGAAACCGGAGCUAAUACCGGAUAAUAUAUUGAACCGCAUGGUUCAAUAGUGAAAGACGGUUUUGCUGUCACUUAUAGAUGGAUCCGCGCCGCAUUAGCUAGUUGGUAAGGUAACGGCUUACCAAGGCAACGAUGCGUAGCCGACCUGAGAGGGUACCCGCCCACACUGGACUUGAGACAGGUCCAAGCCCCUAAGGGGAGCAGGAAGAGGGAAACUUCCCGAAUGGGGCGAAGGCCUGAGGAGCAACGCCGCGUGAGUGAUGAAGGUCUUCGGAUCGUAAAACUCUGUUAUUAGGGAAGAACAAAUGUGUAAGUAACUAUGCACGUCUUGACGGUACCUAAUCAGAAAGCCACGGCUAACUACGUG